UUCUUUUUUUAUAGAAAAGGUUUAUGACCAUAUUAUCUCAAAUUAAAAUAUAAUAUCAUGCAAUGCAUUGUAUUACACAAUUAUAAAACUUAUUUCAAAAACGGUAAGUCUUGUAAAAUACCCUUAUUAGCAUUAUAUGAAGUUUACUGGUUCUUUUUCUGAUCAUAUGUACUUUGGGAUAGAACACAAUUUACUUUUAGUCCUCCUCCUUUUUUCCAAAAUCCGUUAUUUUUCGAAAUUAACAGAAAACAAAAAAGAUAACGGAUAUUGGAAAAGAGGGAGGGCGGGGGGGGCUUAAAACAAAUUGUCUUGUCCCCAGAUCCCAAAUACCUUUGUUUUUGAUAGAUAAAAGUGUCUGUUUGAAUUAGUGUCUGUCCUCGUUGAGUAUGAACACGCGAAGUUUAUAUUGAUGUUCUACGAAAGUAUUCGUAUACUGUAAUCUUAUGGUUUGUGUUCUGAUAUUAUAAUCGUAGCCAUAAGGAUAGAAAGUACAUGUAUUACAAGGAUGGAGACAUUAUACAGACUUAAACAAUCAGCAUCUUACUUAACAUGUCAUACAUGUAUCAUAAAAGAGAUUCCCUACUUCCCGCUCAAUCGUAUCACGCGAGAAAAACACGACGAUUCGACGUCUACUACAAAAAUUAUGAUA
rnacentral:lncRNA from 1 species